rnacentral:misc_RNA from 1 species
UUUCCGUAGGUGAACCUGCGGAAGGAUCAUUAUAAUAUAACUAAGGUGCAAGGGCUGUCUCUGAUUCGGGUGGUCGAACAUGCCCGAGUGCGCUUACUCGCGUCCAUGACACCCCUAUUUGCAACCCCGCCUGGAUCCCCCUUUGGCUUGUUCGGAGGGCUGCUUACGUUUUCACACAACCUUUGCAUGCGGUGUCGAAUGAAUCUUUUGUUUUCGAGUACACCUACUCAAUACAACUUUCAACAACGGAUCCCUUAGCUCUAGCAUCGUUGAAGAACG